AACUUUGCAAGCUCUUAAAGGAUUAUCAAUAUUAUUUGGAACUUAAAAUGUGACAUACCACACAAAACUAAUAGCAACUUUUCUCCUGUGGAGUGCAGCUAAAAAGACUAAUUAGUGCAGCCUAAGUAACAAAUUGUUUUGUUUGACUUAGUAUUUCUCUGUGAAAUUGUGUAAACAAAUUUUCAGUGUUUUGUACGAAAUCUAUAUGAUACCCUUGAUCAAGGUAAACCUGCAGUCCUGGGCUCGGCAAAGACAGUGAUUUUGUAUUUCAGGAUUUUUAGGGUGCCCUGAGUCCACCCAGCCCUAAUGGGUACCUGACUUUAGUUGUGGAAAAAGUAAAGGUGGUUGGUUGUUGUGAUGGCCACAUGACAUCUUGCUUGUUAACCGUCGUACAAAGAAACAUGACUUUAAAGCUGCCCUAUUAAAUCUCAAAAACUAUUUGUGUAAACGUCUAUAACUUUAAAAAUAAAGACUAAAAAUGACA